rnacentral:rRNA from 2 species
AUUAGAGUUUGAUCCUGGCUCAGGACGAACGCUGGCGGCGUGCCUAAUACAUGCAAGUCGAGCGCUUGCACAAGAAAGCUUGCUUUCUUGUUGCUUGAGCGGCGGACGGGUGAGUAACACGUGGGCAACCUGCCUAUAAGACUGGGAUAACUUCGGGAAACCGGAGCUAAUACCGGAUAAUGCUUUUGAACACAUGUUUGAAAGCUGAAAGAUGGUUUCGGCUAUCACUUAUAGAUGGGCCCGCGGCGCAUUAGCUAGUUGGUGAGGUAACGGCUCACCAAGGCGACGAUGCGUAGCCGACCUGAGAGGGCGAUCGGCCACACUGGGACUGAGACACGGCCCAGACUCCUACGGGAGGCAGCAGUAGGGAAUCUUCCGCAAUGGACGAAAGUCUGACGGAGCAACGCCGCGUGAGUGAUGAGGGUUUUCGGAUCGUAAAACUCUGUUGUUAGGGAAGAACAAGUACCGGAGUAACUGCCGGUACCUUGACGGUACCUAACCAGAAAGCCACGGCUAACUACGUGCCAGCAGCCGCGGUAAUACGUAGGUGGCAAGCGUUGUCCGGAAUUAUUGGGCGUAAAGCGCGCGCAGGCGGUUCCUUAAGUCUGAUGUGAAAGCCCACGGCUCAACCGUGGAGGGUCAUUGGAAACUGGGGAACUUGAGUGCAGAAGAGAAGAGCGGAAUUCCACGUGUAGCGGUGAAAUGCGUAGAGAUGUGGAGGAACACCAGUGGCGAAGGCGGCUCUUUGGUCUGUAACUGACGCUGAGGCGCGAAAGCGGUGGGGAGCAAACAGGAUUAGAUACCCUGGUAGUCCACGCGUAAACGAUGAGUGCUAGUGUAGAGGGUUUCCGCCCUUUAGUGCUGCAGCAACGCAUAGCACUCGCUGGGGAGUACGCGCAGCUGAAACUCAAAGAUGACGGGGCCGCACAGCGGUGGAGCAUGUGAUAUCGAGCACGCGAGACUACAGUCUGACAUCUCUGCUACCCUAGAGAUAGGGCGUUCCUUCAGGGACGAAUACAGGUGGUGCAUGGGUUCUCACCUGUUUCCUGAAGUUGGUAAGUCGCAAAGGCUCACCUGAGUUAACUGCGAAAUCAUGGACU